UUUGAUCAUGGCUCAGAUUGAACGCUGGCGGCAUGCCUUACACAUGCAAGUCGAACGGGUAGAGUAGCAAUACUUGAGAGUGGCGAACGGGUGAGUAAUAUAUCGGAACGUGCCCAGUCGUGGGGGGAUAACGUAGAGAAAUUUACGCUAAUACCGCAUACGAUCUAAGGAUGAAAGCGGGGGAUUCGCAAGAACCUCGCGCGAUUGGAGCGGCUGAUAUCAGAUUAGGUUGUUGGUGAGGUAAAAGCUCACCAAGCCGACGAUCUGUAGCUGGUUUGAGAGAACGACCAGCCACACUGGGACUGAGACACGGCCCAGACUCCUACGGGAGGCAGCAGUGGGGAAUUUGGACAAUGGGCGAAAGCCUGAUCCAGCAAUGCCGCGUGCAGGAAGAAGGCCUUCGGGUUGUAAACUGCUUUUGUACGGAACGAAAAGGCUCUUUCUAAUAAAGAGGGCCCAUGACGGUACCGUAAGAAUAAGCACCGGCUAACUACGUG
rnacentral:rRNA from 1 species